rnacentral:rRNA from 1 species
AACGUAGGAGACAAACGUUAUCCGGAGUUACUGGGCGUAAAGAGCUCGUAGGUGGUUUGUCGCGUUGUCCGUGAAAACUCACAACUCAAUUGUGGGCGUGCGGGCGAUACGGGCAGACUGGAGUACUGCAGGGGAGACUGGAAUUCCUGGUGUAGCGGUGGAAUGCGCAGAUAUCAGGAGGAACACCGGUGGCGAAGGCGGGUCUCUGGGCAGUAACUGACGCUGAGGAGCGAAAGCGUGGGGAGCGAACAGG